GUGCCAGCCGCCGCGGUAAUACGGAGGGUGCGAGCGUUGUUCGGAAUUAUUGGGCGUAAAGCGCGUGUAGGCGGUUUGGUAAGUCUGAUGUGAAAGCCCCGGGCUCAACCUGGGAAGUGCAUUGGAAACUGUCAGACUUGAAUACGGGAGAGGGUAGUGGAAUUCCUAGUGUAGGAGUGAAAUCCGUAGAUAUUAGGAGGAACACCGGUGGCGAAGGCGGCUACCUGGACCGUUAUU
rnacentral:rRNA from 1 species